UACGUAGGGUGCAAGCGUUGUCCGGAAUUAUUGGGCGUAAAGAGCUCGUAGGCGGUCUGUCGCGUCUGCUGUGAAAACUCAGGGCUUAACCCUGAGCUUGCAGUGGGUACGGGCAGACUAGAGUGCGGUAGGGGAGACUGGAAUUCCUGGUGUAGCGGUGAAAUGCGCAGAUAUCAGGAGGAACACCGAUGGCGAAGGCAGGUCUCUGG
rnacentral:rRNA from 1 species